rnacentral:rRNA from 1 species
UAGUGGCGAACGGGUGAGUAACACGUGAGUAACCUGCCCUUGACUCUGGGAUAAGCCUGGGAAACUGGGUCUAAUACCGGAUAUGACCAUUCCACGCAUGUGGUGGUGGUGGAAAGCUUUUGCGGUUUUGGAUGGACUCGCGGCCUAUCAGCUUGUUGGUGGGGUAAUGGCCUACCAAGGCGACGACGGGUAGCCGGCCUGAGAGGGUGACCGGCCACACUGGGACUGAGACACGGCCCAGACUCCUACGGGAGGCAGCAGUGGGGAAUAUUGCACAAUGGGCGGAAGCCUGAUGCAGCGACGCCGCGUGAGGGAUGACGGCCUUCGGGUUGUAAACCUCUUUCAGUAGGGAAGAAGCGUAAGUGACGGUACCUGCAGAAGAAGCGCCGGCUAACUACGUGCCAGCAGCCGCGGUAAUACGUAGGGCGCAAGCGUUAUCCGGAAUUAUUGGGCGUAAAGAGCUCGUAGGCGGUUUGUCGCGUCUGCUGUGAAAGACCGGGGCUCAACUCCGGUUCUGCAGUGGGUACGGGCAGACUAGAGUGCAGUAGGGGAGACUGGAAUUCCUGGUGUAGCGGUGAAAUGCGCAGAUAUCAGGAGGAACACCGAUGGCGAAGGCAGGUCUCUGGGCUGUAACUGACGCUGAGGAGCGAAAGCAUGGGGAGCGAACAGGAUUAGAUACCCUGGUAGUCCAUGCCGUAAACGUUGGGCACUAGGUGUGGGGGACAUUCCACGUUUUCCGCGCCGUAGCUAACGCAUUAAGUGCCCCGCCUGGGGAGUACGGCCGCAAGGCUAAAACUCAAAGGAAUUGACGGGGGCCCGCACAAGCGGCGGAGCAUGCGGAUUAAUUCGAUGCAACGCGAAGAACCUUACCAAGGCUUGACAUGGACUGGAUCGCUGCAGAAAUGUGGUUUCCCCUUUUGGGGCUGGUUCACAGGUGGUGCAUGGUUGUCGUCAGCUCGUGUCGUGAGAUGUUGGGUUAAGUCCCGCAACGAGCGCAACCCUCGUUCUAUGUUGCCAGCGGUUCGGCCGGGGACUCAUAGGAGACUGCCGGGGUCAACUCGGAGGAAGGUGGGGACGACGUCAAAUCAUCAUGCCCCUUAUGUCUUGGGCUUCACGCAUGCUACAAUGGCCGGUACAAAGGGUUGCGAUACUGUGAGGUGGAGCUAAUCCCAAAAAGCCGGUCUCAGUUCGGAUUGGGGUCUGCAACUCGACCCCAUGAAGUCGGAGUCGCUAGUAAUCGCAG